rnacentral:rRNA from 1 species
CUUGCUCCCGCGAAGGUUAGCGGCGGACGGGUGAGUAACACGUAGGCAACCUGCCCGCAAGACCGGGAUAACAUUCGGAAACGAAUGCUAAGACCGGAUACGCAAGAGGGAGGCAUCUUCCUGUUGGGAAACACGGAGCAAUCUGUGGCUUGCGGAUGGGCCUGCGGCGCAUUAGCUAGUUGGUGGGGUAACGGCUCACCAAGGCGACGAUGCGUAGCCGACCUGAGAGGGUGAACGGCCACACUGGGACUGAGACACGGCCCAGACUCCUACGGGAGGCAGCAGUAGGGAAUCUUCCACAAUGGGCGCAAGCCUGAUGGAGCAACGCCGCGUGAGUGAGGAAGGCCUUCGGGUCGUAAAGCUCUGUUGCCAGGGAAGAAUAAGGGUGAGGUGACUACUCACCCGAUGACGGUACCUGAGAAGAAAGCCCCGGCUAACUACGUGCCAGCAGCCGCGGUAAUACGUAGGGGGCGAGCGUUGUCCGGAAUUAUUGGGCGUAAAGCGCGCGCAGGCGGUUUCUUAAGUCUGGUGUUUAAGUGCGGGGCUCAACCCCGUGACGCACUGGAAACUGGGAGACUUGAGUGCAGGAGAGGAGAGCGGAAUUCCACGUGUAGCGGUGAAAUGCGUAGAGAUGUGGAGGAACACCAGUGGCGAAGGCGGCUCUCUGGACUGUAACUGACGCUGAGGC